rnacentral:rRNA from 1 species
CUAAUACAUGCAAGUCGAACGAGUUCUGAUUAUUGAAAGGUGCUUGCAUCUUGAUUUAAUUUUGAACGAGUGGCGGACGGGUGAGUAACACGUGGGUAACCUGCCCUUAAGUGGGGGAUAACAUUUGGAAACAGAUGCUAAUACCGCAUAAAUCCAAGAACCGCAUGGUUCUUGGCUGAAAGAUGGCGUAAGCUAUCGCUUUUGGAUGGACCCGCGGCGUAUUAGCUAGUUGGUGAGGUAACGGCUCACCAAGGCAAUGAUACGUAGCCGAACUGAGAGGUUGAUCGGCCACAUUGGGACUGAGACACGGCCCAAACUCCUACGGGAGGCAGCAGUAGGGAAUCUUCCACAAUGGACGCAAGUCUGAUGGAGCAACGCCGCGUGAGUGAAGAAGGCUUUCGGGUCGUAAAACUCUGUUGUUGGAGAAGAAUGGUCGGCAGAGUAACUGUUGUCGGCGUGACGGUAUCCAACCAGAAAGCCACGGCUAACUACGUGCCAGCAGCCGCGGUAAUACGUAGGUGGCAAGCGUUAUCCGGAUUUAUUGGGCGUAAAGCGAGCGCAGGCGGUUUUUUAAGUCUGAUGUGAAAGCCCUCGGCUUAACCGAGGAAGUGCAUCGGAAACUGGGAAACUUGAGUGCAGAAGAGGACAGUGGAACUCCAUGUGUAGCGGUGAAAUGCGUAGAUAUAUGGAAGAACACCAGUGGCGAAGGCGGCUGUCUGGUCUGUAACUGACGCUGAGGCUCGAAAGCAUGGGUAGCGAACAGGAUUAGAUACCCUGGUAGUCCAUGCCGUAAACGAUGAAUGCUAGGUGUUGGAGGGUUUCCGCCCUUCAGUGCCGCAGCUAACGCAUUAAGCAUUCCGCCUGGGGAGUACGACCGCAAGGUUGAAACUCAAAGGAAUUGACGGGGGCCCGCACAAGCGGUGGAGCAUGUGGUUUAAUUCGAAGCAACGCGAAGAACCUUACCAGGUCUUGACAUCUUUUGAUCACCUGAGAGAUCAGGUUUCCCCUUCGGGGGCAAAAUGACAGGUGGUGCAUGGUUGUCGUCAGCUCGUGUCGUGAGAUGUUGGGUUAAGUCCCGCAACGAGCGCAACCCUUAUGACUAGUUGCCAGCAUUUAGUUGGGCACUCUAGUAAGACUGCCGGUGACAAACCGGAGGAAGGUGGGGAUGACGUCAAAUCAUCAUGCCCCUUAUGACCUGGGCUACACACGUGCUACAAUGGAUGGUACAACGAGUUGCGAGACCGCGAGGUCAAGCUAAUCUCUUAAAGCCAUUCUCAGUUCGGACUGUAGGCUGCAACUCGCCUACACGAAGUCGGAAUCGCUAGUAAUCGCGGAUCAGCACGCCGCGGUGAAUACGUUCCCGGGCCUUGUACACACCGCCCGUCACACCAUGAGAGUUUGUAACACCCGAAGCCGGUGGCGUAACCCUUUUAGGGAGCGAGCCGUCUAAGGUG